rnacentral:misc_RNA from 1 species
GGAAGUAAAAGCCGUAACAAGGUACCUGUAGGCGAACCUGCAGGUGGAUCAUUAGCGAAGCCCGCGUGCGGGUGCAAACUCAAUGCUGCGCAAGCGGCCUAUGUCGUUGUUGUUGUUUAAUCCACAACUGUCAGCAAGGGAUCGUUUGGUUCUC